rnacentral:misc_RNA from 1 species
CACCAAAGUUACAACAUUUAAGGUUUGUUUCUUGGAUCUCAAUCAUGUUUCUGUCUCUUCCAUUAUUAUGUAACUGUCUUGUUAGAUCUCGUCUUUGUUUGUUAUCUGUGUGUGCAUGCGAAUCUAUGUAGUUGCUGUUUUGGGCAUUUACAAUCACAAGGCAUGAACUUUUUGAAUUCCCCAGUUUUGUUUUAUUGGCGGAAUCCAUUGAUUUCAAAUUUCCCAAAACAUGAAUCGAAUUGGUUGUGGUUUUGUUAAUGGGUUCUCUUGGUUUGGAUUAAAGAUUUUUGGUGUGCAAGAUAAUAUCUUAAUUUUACUUGGGGUUUUAUGGUUGAUUGGUUUCUGGACAGUCUAGAAUUGGGAUUUGGGUUAAUGGGUCUAUAAGAUCGGCAUUGUGUGAUGCCUUUUACUGUGGUUUUUGUCUGGUUCUGCUGAUUGCUGAACCAUAGACGUCUCAAAUCAGAGCAGUUGUCAUUUGAACACCCAGAUAAGUUAUAAGAUGUAGGAGAAAUCCUUUGAUUCCAAAUUCCAAAGGAAUGUGAUUCAGACACUUCAGCCUGUGUCUGUGCGUAUGACUGGAAAAGAUUGUGGUCUAUUCUUCAAGAAUGAUUGUAAUGUUCAGUUUUUAUUUUUUUUUAAUUUUUUUAUGAAGGGCUUUUUUUUCUUCACCAUAAUUAGAUUCUACAUCAUGUGCUUUUGGGUAUGCAUGUUGUCCGCAAGUUUUUCCAAAGUUGUAAACUUGUCUAACCUCAGUGCAAUGAAUUAUGCCCCCCAUGGAAGUUUUGGGCAUAGUAAUUAUCAUGGUAGUUUAAUAUAUUCUUUCAUCUGUGCCAAACUAGCAUAUUCUUGUGUGAAUUGGUUGGUUUCCUUAUACUGUCUUGAACGACCUCUCAUAUACUUUAGGACUGUAAAGAGACUUGCUUAUACCCUAGUAGCAAAAAUGAUUUUAAUUGCUCUGAUCGUUUUAGUCAGAACGGUAGAGUUGUAUGUAAAUGUCCUUCUUGCUAUAGAAAUCUAUUUGAAAGAUCAAGAUGUAAAAAAUGUAUCACUUGGAAGUCCUGUUUGGUUAUAGUUUUAUUAGGCCAUAUAUGUUACAAACACAAAGAAGGAUGACGUGCUAAUGGAUAUGAAUUAAGAGAAUCCAAUUUUAAAGUUCUCAAGUAGGAAAAGGAAAAUACGAGAUGACGUCUUGGUUGCAAUUAAUUGUGAGUUGUGUCUUUCUAAAUCUUGUAACUGUUCCAUUCAAAGUAACCAUACCAGAAAUGAGAUUUAUUUUGUUCUAAAGGCACCCGAAGAGAGAAUCAGCAUUGGCAGUGCCUAGUUUAAUUUGUGGAUGAGCAGUACGUGCUUCAAAUUCAUGUUUAAAAGUCUUAUUUGGUGAAUGCUAUUCUAAUUUCUCCAACAUAGUCAAGUCCAGUAGUGGGCUCCUUAUAACUGAUUAACCAUUUUCUUGUUCCAAUAUGAGGAACUUUCAAGGUUUAUUCAUUCCCACUGCAUGUUUGUAUGAAUUCAUUCCUGGCACGAUUAAUCUUGUUUGUUAUGAUGUGAUGAUGAAGAACAUUUGUGUGAUGAAUGUGAAACUCUUUAGUACUUUAGUAAUAUUUAUAAGCAGGAAUUUCUGCCUUUAUAAUGCAGUUUAUUCUGUUUAAGAAAUUGGAAUCCACUCUCAAAUUUUAUGGCAAUAUACUUGAAAUAGAAGAAAAUAAAAUGACAGAAGUUAUUGCCCUUUAUCUAAAAUGGUAAAAGAAUGGAGUGAGAUUGAACUUAGUUCAAAUCUUGCCAUUUUAGGGACAAAAGCUGUGAAAGAGAAAGAAAUAGAACAAAGAAAAGGUUGUUGAUUCAUAACUUCCUUGUGAUAAAUCUAGAUUUUGGCAUCUUAUGUGAAAAAUGAAGUAAAAUGAGGAUAAACAUGAUUGUGCUAUUUUUGGAUAUAUAUAUG